GCCGGGUGUGGUGGCUCACACCUGUAAUCCCAGCACUUUGGGAGGCUGAGAUGGAUGGAUCACCUGAGGUCAGGAGUUCGAGACCAGCCUGGCCAACAUGGUGAAACCCCGUCUCUA
rnacentral:SRP_RNA from 1 species